AUGAUGUGCUUCAAAGAGACACGAGUGGGGUUCUAUGAGAGAAUCCAGGAAGAAGAGGCGAAUUGCACCCUACAGUUCCUUUCUCUGUGGAAUCGAACGAAGACUGGGGCGAGUUGUGAUGCUGAGCUGGAGUUAACGUUUACUGCAGAGUAAAGUAGAAAUGGACAGCUUCAAUCAAGCUGCUCAAACCAAAGCACACGAAAUUGCUAUUUUUUAACAAAAAAUAAAGUGUUACAGACAUAGACUCCUGAG
rnacentral:lncRNA from 1 species